AACAACUGCAGGGAUAAGAAUAGCCCAUGGCUGACAGUGCAUUUGCUUCUACUUGUCCUGGUCAAGGUUUUCUAAUUCGGGCCCAAGAGAGUAUUCAUGUCUCCAGGAGGCCACCCUAUGGCACGUUAGGCAUUCUUGAGAGACUGGCGGCCUCAGUCCUUGUGUUUGGAGCAGUUCUGCUAGAGGAGGAAACAGCACAAAGGGCACUCUUAUGCUGCUGUAAACCAGUGCCAGGAUUUUUAAAAUGUGAGACACCUGUUACCCUAGAGUGUGAAGAGGAGGAGAAAGGCUGAAGAGGAGGAGAAAGGCUAAGAUCUUUUCCAAUGCAAAAUUAGGAAAAAAUAUACUACAGGUAAGAUGGAGCAAGCAUGCUCUGCACCUUGUGUCUCCCUCAAAAUGUGGCUCUAAAACCUGGACAGGAUACAGCAGCUAUUUGAGGUCUCUGAAAAGCAAACAGUAACAUGCAAAAAGGGGAAGAGGACAGGAAUCUGAAGUAGCACCAAACCAAUGAUUUAUGAAAAAAUAAGAAGUGAAAGUAUUCUCUGACUGCAAGUAUGACCACCUGUCUUUCUAUAUCAGAACCCAAGCUAAAAGACUGCAUUUACUACCCUUCCUUGCUAACAAGAGUGACUACGUGACUAUGUUCUGGCCAAUGCAAACAGCCUGAAAAGCUGAUGUAAUGACUGGAUCUUCAGCAGCCACCUUGAGCAAGAGGUAGAAGCUAGAGGCUGAGGAAUGAUGGAGCAGAAAGGAAGGAGCUGGGGUUCCUAUUAACAUCCUGAAGCUACACUAUCAGGCCUGGACUGACCAACUCUUUCUGGCCUUCUUUUACAAGAGAAAAAUACAGUUAUUUAAACCACUAUACUUCUGUUUUCUUUUUUGGGGUAUAGAUAACUGAACCUAAUCCUGUCCCAAAUCCUGAUCCUAUCUAACCAGUGUUAGCUAUCAGCCCAUACGUAUACUGGAGAAUGACGUUUAACAAAAUAAGAUGUUAAAGUUCUAACUAAUUGUAAUAAUCAUGCAGUUUUCUCAUGCUGAACAAAGUUAAAGAAAUAUAAUGUGUGUUUCCUAAAGAGUGUCAUUUUUUGGAAAGAUAACAUGGGGCACAAAGUAACAUAAAAAUCUACAUAUAAUUAUGUAAACAUUGCUUUGACAUACAACACCAAAUAUUUUUAUUGUAUUUGUGAAUGCAUUUCUUGGUAAUAAAACGGCAGUUAUGAAUAAGUGAUACUUGGAAAGCUAUAACAUAAUGGGAGGAGAAGGUAUUAACACUGUGAUUUUAUGGGGUUGAAUCAGUUUUAGUUUCUUAUACAACUCAGAGCUUUACGUUAUUUAGACUGUCUAAACACUGGCGCAAGGUAGCAUUUUACUUAUCAAAACACUGGAGGAGGCAGUCUAUUUUAUGUGGGAAUAAUAGCUUUUUAACAGUGUUCGAUUAGGAGACAUUAGGAACCUUGCCUUGAAAACCAUUAGCAAAUUUAUCUAGAAGAUUUUACGUUACAUCUUAAAACAACCAGCUGCUAAGGACAUCCUAAACUGCUUAGUAUGCCAAUUUGCCUCAGAUGCUUGCCAUAUAAGCUGCUUUCAGGAGUCAGCAAUGAGUAUCAUAGAUACUUGAGGAUAAAAGGUUGAAGGAUAUUGGCAUUCAAAGAUGAAGCCAGAAACCCUGUACAGCCAAAAAAAUUAAACUUGCAUUUUACUUUGGAGUGAAAUGUCUUUGCUAUUUCCAAAGUUUUUAACUUUUGGGUUCUCAACUAGCCCUAGCAAUAUAAGGGCCUGACUAAUGACUCUUCCCAACAUUGUCAAACUUAAUUCAAACUUGAAAUCAAUCCCCUUUUUUUUCCUCCUAAAGCAAAGUAACUCACAAUAAUAAUAUGAGUACAUGUGAAUGGCCAAUUUAGAAGUUUAAGUCAUUCUUUUGUAAUCAGUACUAGAAUUAACUAGUGAUUUUUUUUUUUGGCAAGGAAUAACAAAAUAAUAGAAACUCCAUAUAUAUUAGAAAAAGAUCUGUAAGUUUGAGCCUUAUAUAUUAUUACAAUGUGGCAAUCAAGAGGAAAACUCAAGACAACUGUGCGCUGUGCUUGUCCUGUUUUGUUCAAACCACGAUAAUUUUAAAUAAAUAGUAAUGUUCAACAUUCACUGAUGACAUUAUCUAUCAACCACAUCACACCUGGAACACAGUAGAUAAUAAAUGGCAGCUGUUAUACCUUCCUUCUUGAAACAAAAUCCUGUCAUUUCAUUCUCAUUUUAACUUUGUGUUAAGCUUCUACAAUCCAUAAAAAUGAUAAAACAAUAAAAUGGUCCAACAUUAUCUAGUCCAGUCUUAUUUUUACAAAACAUUGACUUUAAAAGUCCCUGAGAUUUUAAUUUUACUGGUUUAAUCUGUCUUCCCUACCCUUGUUUAAAAAAAAAUAGAAUCAUGUGUCAUUAUUGGUUGAGUACCCG
rnacentral:lncRNA from 10 species